CGCAUCUGUGCAUGCAGCAUAUCAAUAAGCGGAGGAAAAGAAACUAACAAGGAUUCCCUUAGUAACGGCGAGUGAAGCGGGAAGAGCUCAAAUUUGAAAUCUUCAAGGUUUUACCUUGACGAAUUGUAGUUUAAAGAAGUGUUUUCUGUUGAAGUUUUGGUAAAAGUUCUUUGGAAUAGGACAUCAUAGAGGGUGAGAAUCCCGUAUUUGACCAUUAUUUUCAGCUGUGUGAUACACUUUCAAAGAGUCGGAUUGUUUGGGAAUGCAGUCCAAAAUGGGUGGUAAAUUUCAUCUAAAGCUAAAUAUUGGCGAGAGACCGAUAGCGAACAAGUACCGUGAGGGAAAGAUGAAAAGAACUUUGAAAAGAGAGUUAAACAGUACGUGAAAUUGUCAAAAGGGAAGCGUUUGACACCAGUGUUGUUUUCUCGAAAAUCAAUUAAAAAGAGUUAGAUUUUGUUGUGUAUUGACCUUAACAGCUUGCAUUUCAAUCUUCUUGCUUUUUUUAAUGCACUUUUCGUUUAACAAGUCAACAUCAGUUUCUUUUGUUGUAAAAAGGUCAUUGGAAGGUGGCUUUCUUUUCGGAGAAAGUGUUUAUAGCCUUUGACUCCUGCAAUCGGAGAGACUGAGGUCUGCAGCGUAGAUCCUUCGGGGUUAGAUACAUUUGUGCUAAGUUAUAGCUUUUUAUAGACAACUUGUUGACUAUGAUUAGUCUUGUAGCUUACUCGCUUAUGCUAUUUUACCUACGCUUAGGAUGUUGAUGUGAUACUGCGAGC
rnacentral:rRNA from 1 species